rnacentral:rRNA from 1 species
GACAGAGGUGCCGAGCGUUAGGCGGAAUCACUGGGCUUAAAGCGUGUGUAGGCGGGCCGUUAAGUGCCCCGUGAAAUCCCCCGGCUCAACCGGGGAACGGCGGGGCAUACUGGCGGCCUUGAGCCACUUAAGGGCAGACGGAACAAGCGGUGGAGCGGUGAAAUGCGUAGAUAUCGUUUGGAACGCCAAUGGUGAAAACAGACAGCUGGGAGUGUGCUGACGCUGAGACACGAAAGCCAGGGGAGCGAACGGG